rnacentral:lncRNA from 1 species
AUUUGCUGAGAUACAUUACUCUAAAACUUUUAUGAAAAGCUAUCUUUCAAAUGAUUCCUCCACGUGAAAAUGCCCUCCACAUAAUAUACCAUGAGUCUCAGAGAGGCACAAGAGAUAGGGAUAUUGCAAAGAGGCUGCAAUAUCCUUCACGACAGGAUCUCAACUCCAAAUGGAAAAAGAGUGUUCUGCAACCUCCACAAUGUAAAAUGAAAGUUAAUGUAUGGGAAAUAAAGCCUCCUGAUUUUAGCUACAAACUGUAUACUUCUUUGAGAAUUCCAGAAAGACCAUCAAAACCAAUUAAGGAAGAAAAAAGGAGGAAAAAAAUCAGUUUUCCAGAAACAAUGCUUCACUUGCCCAGCAUAAGGAAUCAUCCUAAGGAGGUCACAGCUCCUAAAUUUAUAACUACAUUUCCACGUCUGGAUUUACAAAAAGCAAAGUUAAUGUUUGUGAAGAGUGGACAAUAUCCAAGGGGUGUAUAUGUCAAUCCCAAACCACAUGACUUUCGACAGUACCAACCUGGUUUACCAAACUUUGAGACAACUUAUGAAAAGGACCCCUUUGGAUUAAAAUUUAAAUCACAACACUUAAGUACAGUACAUGGGUACCAGUUACCGAAAGAUAAUAAACAGAAGAAUACUACAGAAAGAUUUAUCACCCACAAGCAUCGUGAAUGCACCUGGGAUUCAAAACUAAUUUUGACGAAAGCCCCAUGGCCUGUUAGAUCUGCUUCAUAUACAAGACAUAGAAGGCAGCGUGAUGCAUACAGUGCAUUUAUGGAUCGUGUGGAAGAAAAGUUUACAAAGAUAUGCAAGAGCAGAUAGCUGAUGGACCAAAACAGCAUAGGGCUUCCUGAACUCUGGCCUGAAUGUUCAUCUCCCGUGCAUUUCCCAGUGAGAACAUUGAUGAAUUCUGGCACCUUCCUGGAUUCUACAGAAAUCUGCACUCUCCCAGAGACAUGAGAAAGUGCUAAAACAACAAAUGAAAGUUGCAUAAUUUGAAAUUCCCUUGUUACCACAUGGAUCAGAAUCCAAUCAUCAGGCUUUUGAUUUAGUUUGUGAAAGUUAGAUCUUGCAACUAUGAGUGGAAAUGCUGAUAAUGUGCUUUCUGUUAAUGUCCAAAGUUAAAGAGAUGCUCUAGUCUCAGUUUUUUCUAAUACACUUUAAGAAGCUUCUCUGAGACACUCAAGUAUAUCAAAAGAGAGAAGAUCUCCAAGUAACAGAAAUACUAAAUGUCCUUCUUAAAGAACACCAGGCUUGGAGAAUUUAUAGUUCCAACUAGAAGGAAAGGUCUGUCUUUUAACAUGUUAAAAUAAUUUUCUAAAUUUUUGUUUAAAUAUUUUGAGGGAAAGAAAACAAAUGACGUGAAACUUGUUUCUGAUCAAGAUUUGAUGAUUAUAAUUGAAAAUUAAUAAAAGGGGAGGGUAGGAUUUAAUGCUAUUGCCAGUUUUAUUGAAUGGAUUAUCCUAUCACCUUUCCAAUUUCACUAUGAAAACUACUGAAAUAAAGGCAAGUACGUAUUUAAUAGCUCUGUUGACAUAAGCAACAUUAAGUGGAAAGAUGAGGCAAUGAAAUUAAAUCAUUUCCCAAAGGAUAUUUUGC